GCUCCUGAAGGAUAACAGUCAUCCGCUGGUCUUAGGAACCAAAACCUCUUGGUGCAAAUCCAAGCAAGAGCU
rnacentral:tRNA from 1 species